GAUGAACGCUGGCGGCGUGCCUAACACAUGCAAGUCGAGCGAUUCUCUUCGGAGAAGAGCGGCGGACGGGUGAGUAACGCGUGGGUAACCUGCCCUGUACACACGGAUAACAUACCGAAAGGUAUGCUAAUACGAGAUAAUAUAUGAAAGUUGCAUGACAUUCAUAUCAAAGCUUUUGCGGUACAGGAUGGACCCGCGUCUGAUUAGCUAGUUGGUAAGGUAACGGCUUACCAAGGCGACGAUCAGUAGCCGACCUGAGAGGGUGAUCGGCCACACUGGAACUGAGACACGGUCCAGACUCCUACGGGAGGCAGCAGUGGGGAAUAUUGCACAAUGGGCGAAAGCCUGAUGCAGCAACGCCGCGUGAGCGAUGAAGGCCUUCGGGUCGUAAAGCUCUGUCCUCAAGGAAGAUAAUGACGGUACUUGAGGAGGAAGCCCCGGCUAACUACGUGCCAGCCGCCGCUGUAA
rnacentral:rRNA from 1 species